UACAGAGGGGGCAAGCGUUAUUCGGAAUUAUUGGGCGUAAAGGGCGCGUAGGCGGCUUGGCAAGUGGAUGGUGAAAUCCCUCGGCUUAACCGAGGAACUGCCGUCCAAACUGCUUCGCUUGAGACCGGGAGAGGUGAGUGGAAUUCCCAGUGUAGCGGUGAAAUGCGUAGAUAUUGGGAGGAACACCAGUGGCGAAGGCGGCUCACUGACGGUACGUAGUGACGCUGAUGCGCGAAAGCGUGGGAGGCAACAGGG
rnacentral:rRNA from 1 species